rnacentral:rRNA from 1 species
GGAUCAUUACCGAGUGUAGGGUUCCUAGCGAGCCCAACCUCCCACCCGUGUUUACUGUACCUUAGUUGCUUCGGCGGGCCCGCCAUUCGUGGCCGCCGGGGGCUCUCAGCCCCGGGCCCGCGCCCGCCGGAGACACCACGAACUCUGUCUGAUCUAGUGAAGUCUGAGUUGAUUGUAUCGCAAUCAGUUAAAACUUUCAACAAUGGAUCUCUUGGUUCCGGCAUCGAUGAAGAACGCAGCGAAAUGCGAUAACUAGUGUGAAUUGCAGAAUUCCGUGAAUCAUCGAGUCUUUGAACGCACAUUGCGCCCCCUGGUAUUCCGGGGGGCAUGCCUGUCCGAGCGUCAUUGCUGCCCAUCAAGCACGGCUUGUGUGUUGGGUCGUCGUCCCCUCUCCGGGGGGGACGGGCCCCAAAGGCAGCGGCGGCACCGCGUCCGAUCCUCGAGCGUAUGGGGCUUUGUCACCCGCUCUGUAGGCCCGGCCGGCGCUUGCCGAACGCAAAUCAAUCUUUUUCCAGGUUGACCUCGGAUCAGGUAGGGAUACCCGCUGAACUUAAGCAUAU